UACGUAGGUGACAAGCGUUGUCCGGAUUUACUGGGCGUAAAGAGCGCGCAGGCGGUCGAUCAAGUCGAGUGUGAAAGCCCCCGGCUCAACUGGGGAGGGUCAUUCGAUACUGAUCGACUCGAAGGCAGGAGAGGGUAGUGGAACUGCGAGUGUAGAGGUGAAAUUCGUAGAUAUUCGCAAGAACACCAGUGGCGAAGGCGGCUGACUGGUCCGGUUCUGACGCUGAGGCGCGAAAGCGUGGGGAGCAAACAGG
rnacentral:rRNA from 1 species